AACGAACGCUGGCGGCAGGCUUAACACAUGCAAGUCGAGCGCCCCGCAAGGGGAGCGGCAGACGGGUGAGUAACGCGUGGGAAUCUACCCAUCUCUACGGAAUAACGCAUGGAAACGUGUGCUAAUACCGUAUACGUCCUUCGGGAGAAAGAUUUAUCGGAGAUGGAUGAGCCCGCGUUGGAUUAGCUAGUUGGUGGGGUAAAGGCCUACCAAGGCGACGAUCCAUAGCUGGUCUGAGAGGAUGAUCAGCCACACGGGGACUGAGACACGGCCCAGACUCCUCCGGGAGGCAGCGGUGGGGAAUAUUGUACAAUGGGCGCAAGCCUGAUCCAGCCAUGCCGCGUGAGUGAUGAAGGCCCUAGGGUUGUAAAGCUCUUUCACCGGUGAAGAUAAUGACGGUAACCGGAGAAGGGGCCCCGGCUAACUUCGUGCCAGCAGCCGCCGUAACAC
rnacentral:rRNA from 1 species